AGCGGCGGACGGGUGAGUAAUGCUUGGGAACAUGCCUUGAGGUGGGGGACAACCGUUGGAAACGACGGCUAAUACCGCAUAAUGUCUACGGACCAAAGGGGGCUUCGGCUCUCGCCUUUAGAUUGGCCCAAGUGGGAUUAGCUAGUUGGUGAGGUAAUGGCUCACCAAGGCGACGAUCCCUAGCUGGUUUGAGAGGAUGAUCAGCCACACUGGGACUGAGACACUGGUCCAGACUCCUACGGGAGGCAGCAGUGGGGAAUAUUGCACAAUGGGCGAAAGCCUGAUGCAGCCAUGCCGCGUGUGUGAAGAAGGCCUUCGGGUUGUAAAGCACUUUCAGUCAGGAGGAAAGGGUGUGAGUUAAUACCUCAUAUCUGUGACGUUACUGACAGAAGAAGCACCGGCUAACUCCGUGCCAGCAGCCGCGGUAAUACGGAGGGUGCGAGCGUUAAUCGGAAUUACUGGGCGUAAAGCGUACGCAGGCGGUUUGUUAAGCGAGAUGUGAAAGCCCCGGGCUCAACCUGGGAACUGCAUUUCGAACUGGCAAACUAGAGUGU
rnacentral:rRNA from 1 species